GAUGAACGCUGGCGGCGUGCCUAAUACAUGCAAGUCGAGCGAACAGGCGAGGAGCUUGCUCCUCUGACGUUAGCGGCGGACGGGUGAGUAACACGUGGAUAACCUACCUAUAAGACUGGGAUAACUUCGGGAAACCGGAGCUAAUACCGGAUAAUAUAUUGAACCGCAUGGUUCAAUAGUGAAAGACGGUUUUGCUGUCACUUAUAGAUGGAUCCGCGCCGCAUUAGCUUGUUGGUAAGGUAACGGCUUACCAAGGCAACGAUGCGUAGCCGACCUGAGAGGGUGAUCGGCCACACUGGAACUGAGACACGGUCCAGACUCCUACGGGAGGCAGCAGUAGGGAAUCUUCCGCAAUGGGCGAAAGCUUGACGGAGCAACGCCGCGUGAGUGAUGAAGGUCUUCGGAUCGUAAAACUCUGUUAUUAGGGAAGAACAAAUGUGUAAGUAACUAUGCACGUCUUGACGGUACCUAAUCAGAAAGCCACGGCUAACUACGUG
rnacentral:rRNA from 1 species